rnacentral:rRNA from 1 species
UACGUAGGGUGCAAGCGUUGUCCGGAAUUAUUGGGCGUAAAGAGCUCGUAGGCGGUUUGUUGCGUCGGCUGUGAAAUCCCGAGGCUCAACCUCGGGUCUGCAGUCGAUACGAGCAAACUAGAGUGUUGCAGGGGAGACUGGAAUUCCUGGUGUAGCGGUGAAAUGCGCAGAUAUCAGGAGGAACACCGGUGGCGAAGGCGGGUCUCUGGGCAUGACCUGACGCUGAGGAGCGAAAGUGUGGGGAGCGAACAGG